rnacentral:rRNA from 1 species
UACGGAAGGCAGCAGUGGGGAAUAUUGCACAAUGGGCGAAAGCCUGAUGCAGCUAUGCCGCGUGUAUGAAGAAGGCCUUAGGGUUGUAAAGUACUUUCAUCGGGGAGGAAAAAACAAAACUAAUAAUUUUAUUUCUUGACGUUACCCGAAAAAGAAGCACCGGCUAACUCCGUGCCAGCAGCCGCGGUAAUACGGAGGGUGCUAGCGUUAAUCAGAAUUACUGGGCGUAAAGAGCACGUAGGUGGUUUUUUUAAGUCAGAUGUGAAAUCCCUGGGCUUAACCUAGGAACUGCAUUUUGAAACUGAAAUACUAGAGUAUCGUAGAGGGAGGUAGAAUUCUAGGUGUAGCGGUGAAAUGCGUAGAUAUCUGGAGGAAUACCUGUGGCGAAAGCGGCCUCCUAAACGAAUACUGACACUGAGGUGCGAAAGCGUGGGGAGCAAACAGGGAUUAGAUUACC